rnacentral:rRNA from 1 species
GAUGAACGCUAGCUACAGGCUUAACACAUGCAAGUCGAGGGGAAACGAUAUUGGAAGCUUGCUUCCGAUAGGCGUCGACCGGCGCACGGGUGAGUAACGUGUAUCCAACCUGCCCAUCACUUGGGGAUAACCUUGCGAAAGUAAGACUAAUACCCAAUGACGUCUCUAGAAGACAUCUGAAAGAGAUUAAAGAUUUAUCGGUGAUGGAUGGGGAGGCGUCUGAUUAGCUUGUUGGCGGGGUAACGGCCCACCAAGGCGACGAUCAGUAGGGGUUCUGAGAGGAAGGUCCCCCACAUUGGAACUGAGACACGGUCCAAACUCCUACGGGAGGCAGCAGUGAGGAAUAUUGGUCAAUGGGCGAGAGCCUGAACCAGCCAAGUAGCGUGCAGGGUGACGGCCCUAUGGGUUGUAAACUGCUUUUAUAAGGGAAUAAAGUGAGCCACGUGUGGCUUUUUGCAUGUACCUUAUGAAUAAGGACCGGCUAAUUCCGUGCCAGCAGCCGCAGUAA